UAUCUUGAACGAUGAAUCGGUUGAUUCGCGUAUUGAUGAAAAACACAGCUAGCUGUGUUAUUUACCACGAAUUGCAGACGCUUAGAGUGGUAGUGGUGGGAUUUUGAACGCAUAGGGCCGUUGGGUUUUCCCUUCGGCACAUCUGGUUCAGGGUUG
rnacentral:rRNA from 1 species